GGUUAAGUGACUAAGCGUACACGGUGGAUGCCUUGGCAGUCAGAGGCGAUGAAAGACGUAGUAACUUGCGAUAAGCCCAGAUUAGGUAGUAACAACCAUUUGAGUCUGGGAUUUCUGAAUGGGGAAACCCACGUGCAUAAGCACGUAUCCUUACCUGAAUACAUAGGGUAAGGAGGCGAACCGGGGGAACUGAAACAUCUAAGUACCCCGAGGAAAAGAAAUCAACCGAGAUUCCGAAAGUAGCGGCGAGCGAAAUUGGACUAGCCCUUAAGCUUUACACGCGUUAGACGAACGGUCUGGAAAGUCCGACGAUACAGGGUGAUAGUCCCGUAGUUGACGACGUGUGUUCAGUGAAAUCGAGUAGGGCGGGACACGUGAUAUCCUGUCUGAAUAUGGGGGGACCAUCCUCCAAGGCUAAAUACUACUGACUGACCGAUAGUGAACCAGUACCGUGAGGGAAAGGCGAAAAGAACCCCUGUGAGGGGAGUGAAAUAGAACCUGAAACCGUGUACGUACAAGCAGUAGGAGCAGGCUUUGUCCUGUGACUGCGUACCUUUUGUAUAAUGGGUCAGCGACUUAUAUUCAGUGGCAAGGUUAACCAUCUAGGGGAGCCGUAGGGAAACCGAGUCUUAACUGGGCGUUCAGUCUCUGGAUAUAGACCCGAAACCAGGUGAUCUAGCCAUGGGCAGGUUGAAGGUUGAGUAACAUCAACUGGAGGACCGAACCGACUAAUGUUGAAAAAUUAGCGGAUGACUUGUGGCUAGGGGUGAAAGGCCAAUCAAACCUGGAGAUAGCUGGUUCUCCCCGAAAGCUAUUUAGGUAGCGCCUCGGACGAAUACUACUGGGGGUAGAGCACUGUUAAGGCUAGGGGGUCAUCCCGACUUACCAACCCUUUGCAAACUCCGAAUACCAGUAAGUACUAUCCGGGAGACACACGGCGGGUGCUAACGUCCGUCGUGGAGAGGGAAACAACCCAGACCGCCAGCUAAGGUCCCAAAUUACUACUAAGUGGGAAACGAUGUGGGAAGGCUCAGACAGCCAGGAUGUUGGCUUAGAAGCAGCCAUCAUUUAAAGAAAGCGUAAUAGCUCACUGGUCGAGUCGGCCUGCGCGGAAGAUGUAACGGGGCUAAGUAGUAAACCGAAGCUGCGGCAAUAUACUUUUGUAUAUUGGGUAGGGGAGCGUUCUGUAAGCGGUUGAAGGUGUGUGGUAACGCAUGCUGGACGUAUCAGAAGUGCGAAUGCUGACAUGAGUAACGAUAAAGGGGGUGAAAAACCUCCUCGCCGGAAGACCAAGGGUUCCUGUCCAACGUUAAUCGGGGCAGGGUAAGUCGACCCCUAAGGCGAGGCCGAAAGGCGUAGUCGAUGGGAAACGGGUUAAUAUUCCCGUACUUCUUACAAUUGCGAUGGGGGGACGGAGAAGGCUAGGUGGGCCUGGCGACGGUUGUCCAGGUUCAAGUGCGUAGGCUUAAGAGUUAGGUAAAUCCGGCUCUUUUUAAGGCUGAGACACGACGUCGAGCACCUACGGGUGUGAAGUCAUUGAUGCCAUGCUUCCAGGAAAAGCCUCUAAGCUUCAGAUUGUAAGGAAUCGUACCCCAAACCGACACAGGUGGUCGGGUAGAGAAUACCAAGGCGCUUGAGAGAACUCGGGUGAAGGAACUAGGCAAAAUGGUACCGUAACUUCGGGAGAAGGUACGCUCUUGAUGGUGAAGUCCCUUGCGGAUGGAGCUGACGAGAGUCGCAGAUACCAGGUGGCUGCAACUGUUUAUUAAAAACACAGCACUGUGCAAAAUCGUAAGAUGACGUAUACGGUGUGACGCCUGCCCGGUGCCGGAAGGUUAAUUGAUGGGGUUAGACUUCGGUCGAAGCUCUUGAUCGAAGCCCCGGUAAACGGCGGCCGUAACUAUAACGGUCCUAAGGUAGCGAAAUUCCUUGUCGGGUAAGUUCCGACCUGCACGAAUGGCGUAAUGAUGGCCACGCUGUCUCCACCCGAGACUCAGUGAAAUUGAAAUCGCUGUGAAGAUGCAGUGUACCCGCGGCUAGACGGAAAGACCCCGUGAACCUUUACUACAGCUUGGCACUGAACAUUGACCCUACAUGUGUAGGA
rnacentral:rRNA from 1 species